rnacentral:misc_RNA from 1 species
GAUGACGAACGUAGCGAAAUGCGAUAAGUAAUGUGAAUUGCAGAAUUCAGUGAAUCAUCGAAUCUUUGAACGCACCUUGCACCCUUUGGCAUUCUGAAGGGUAUGCUCGUUUGAGUGUCAUUGUACUCUCACACUCCCGAUCUUUGCAUUGGGAGCAGUGGACUUGGGUUUGCUGCUUCACCGUCGCUUACCUCAAAUAGGUUAGUGCAACUCUUGGUUGGACAUAGUACGGCGUGAUAAGUGUUCUUCGCCGGUGCCUCGCAAAGAGGGUGGCCGAUCGGGAUGUUGUGCUCCAAACCGUCUUCGGACAAUCUCUGACGACUUGACCUCAAAUCGAGUAAGACUACCCGCUGAACUUAAGCAUAUCAAUAAGCGGAGGA